AGAGUUUGAUCCUGGCUCAGGAUGAACGCUGGCGGCGUGCCUAAUACAUGCAAGUCGAGCGAACGGACGAGAAGUUUGCUUCUCUGAUGUUAGCGGCGGACGGGUGAGUAACACGUGGAUAACCUACCUAUAAGACUGGGAUAACUUCGGGAAACCGUAGCUAAUACCGGAUAAUAUUUUGAACCGCAUGGUUCAAAAGUGAAAGACGGUCUUGCUGUCACUUAUAGAUGGAUCCGCGCUGCAUUAGCUAGUUGGUAAGGUAACGGCUUACCAAGGCAACGAUGCAUAGCCGACCUGAGAGGGUGAUCGGCCACACUGGAACUGAGACACGGUCCAGACUCCUACGGGAGGCAGCAGUAGGGAAUCUUCCGCAAUGGGCGAAAGCCUGACGGAGCAACGCCGCGUGAGUGAUGAAGGUCUUCGGAUCGUAAAACUCUGUUAUUAGGGAAGAACAUAUGUGUAAGUAACUGUGCACAUCUUGACGGUACCUAAUCAGAAAGCCACGGCUAACUACGUGCCAGCAGCCGCGGUAAUACGUAGGUGGCAAGCGUUAUCCGGAAUUAUUGGGCGUAAAGCGCGCGUAGGCGGUUUUUUAAGUCUGAUGUGAAAGCCCACGGCUCAACCGUGGAGGGUCAUUGGAAACUGGAAAACUUGAGUGCAGAAGAGGAAAGUGGAAUUCCAUGUGUAGCGGUGAAAUGCGCAGAGAUAUGGAGGAACACCAGUGGCGAAGGCGACUUUCUGGUCUGUAACUGACGCUGAUGUGCGAAAGCGUGGGGAUCAAACAGGAUUAGAUACCCUGGUAGUCCACGCCGUAAACGAUGAGUGCUAAGUGUUAGGGGGUUUCCGCCCCUUAGUGCUGCAGCUAACGCAUUAAGCACUCCGCCUGGGGAGUACGACCGCAAGGUUGAAACUCAAAGGAAUUGACGGGGACCCGCACAAGCGGUGGAGCAUGUGGUUUAAUUCGAAGCAACGCGAAGAACCUUACCAAAUCUUGACAUCCUUUGACAACUCUAGAGAUAGAGC
rnacentral:rRNA from 2 species